ACUUACCCCACCAUGUCAUUCCUCUAUCCGUCUUUGACUUCUCUACUUCUAACGUGUUGUCCAGAAACACUGCCACUAUCAAACCCACCGUUGGAGGAGACGAGAAUACGGUAUUGAUAAUUGCAUUGAACUGCAAAGAGACCACGGCGUGAAGGAUUCCAAUAUUCAUUGAAAAACUGAGGGACAGAUAUCCCAAGGAACAGUGAAAGCCCAGUAAUGAUGAGAUUUCUCAUGCAAUUCAUGUUUGUGAAUUGAAGAAAUGAUAAUCCAACCGAAGCUGAAAUACAAAGAAACAAACUAUUGUGAAGGCACUGACAAUCCAAAAAUGGAAAAACUGAGUUUACCAAUCAAUGACAUACCCACAAGCCCAAAGAGAACACAGUACAAUGCAGCAAAUAUUGGGAAGGGUAUAGAUGCAAACACAGCUCCAAAUUUUCCUGCAAAGAUGAAGGAGCGAAUGAACCAUUCAGGAAUUUUUCUCGAUGGUUAUUGGGAAACAUUAAAAGUUGACAACUAGAGAAUGAUGUGAACUCAAAAAGAAGAAUUUAUUAUUGAUAAGAGGGAGGAAAUGAGAAAGACUUCUUUUUUGGCAUGGU